AUAUCUACACACUAGAAAACUACAGGGAUACUCGCUCUCAAUUUAUUGCUAACAAGUCAGCCAAUAGAGAGAAACAGCGCUGUUAGGAUAACAAGAACUCAGUCUUGGGAAAUCUGUGAAAUCGCGAUCUACUAUAGAGGUAUUUGUUGCCUUGUCAAGAGAUAAUUUACAAGCACACUUCAGAACGAAAGCAAAACAACAAAAACGAGGCACGACCAUUGUGGAAUAUUCAUCUGAAAUUGAAAAAGAAAACUGUGUCGANUUCCUUGUGUCAUCAGAGGACAAAACCUGGAACUUCCGAUAUACUUUUUGUAACUUGAAAUACAUACUACAAACUCUUUUAAAACAUAUGAAAGAAGGUAUCCAAAAAUCCUUAAAGAAACAAAAAUACAGCAAAAAGAGCAAGUUCAAGGUACUUACAAACAAACUAUCAUCACAAGAUAGAACGUAAACAACCUCCUGCCAUCUGAUUGGUAAACAGCAAACUCUCCAUCAAAACAAGAGCCAUUUUCCCGCCAUAAUAUGUCACGUGAUGGGUGACUUUCCUGAUUGGAUAAUNACUGUUAUACCUGUAUCUGUUGUAUUUAUCCUCGCUGUUAUCUGUGCAAUAUGUUUCUGUACUCGGGCGUGCUGGCGAUGCAAGUCUCGGGNCCGUCCACAAACGGCACCACAGAACACCGAUGGUCCGAUACAUGACCCGGGGAUUUAUAACGAAUCGUUUACUACCNGUCAACCAGUAUUUACUAUACCGGGCUCUGCCUUUAUGCCGUAUAAUAGCGGACUUCCUGUAAAUUAUUUGAUCUCCACAACACGAGUCAUCACUAUCACUGCNGAGACAGACGACGAGGGAGAAUUAAGCCAACCCAGUACAAUUGAAAGAGCACGAAGACAAGACGAAAGACACUAUGAUAACGGUGUUACAUUAGCGGUCAGUGCUUUACCCUCAGGGCCUCCUCGGUAUGGAUCACUGUACUUCUGCCCUCCCCCUGAUUAUGAAGAGGCGCUUGAAAUUACAGAUGUUGAAGAGAGUUCAAUUACGUAUCUAUGAUUAGACCUUUGUGUAGGGAGGUAGGGGGUAGGGGGAAGGGGGGAGGGAGUAUGGAUGGGUUAAGUGUAUAGUAUGUUAUAAUAUGGUUGAAUAAAAUUGUGCAAUUUGAUUGGCUUAGAGGAAUGGUAGUUAUCCUUAAUAGUGGUAUUUCAAAUUGCACAAUAUUAUUCAAUCAUUUUAUAAACAAAUAAUAUCAUGUUUUGUGCGUGGAAUUUGGGAUAAAUACCACCUCGCUUCGCUCGUGAAAUUUUGUUCGACAAUUNUGAAAUAUCACGCAUGGUAUUUAUCUCAAAUACCACUACAAAACAUCAAUUACCUAUGCAAACACGUUAUUUUUUAUCAAAAUAGGGGUCGUUUGUACGAAGGCUGAUAAAAUAAUCCACCAGAUUGGCCCGGCCAUUGGCAAUGUUUAGAUUAUGUAUGGACUUUAUCAGCUGGAUAGGGAUUAUCCGGUGGAUGNACAGUGCUAUUCACCCUUCGUACAACCUCCCCCUGAAUAGAAACACAACAAUAAUGGUAUAGAUACAGUUAUNGUAGGAGUAUUUUGAGUCCAUUAGGCAUAAAAAUGUCUAAAAUUGCCUUAUAACACUAAAAUGUCACACCAAAUCAUGUUAUUUUUUAUUGUAAGAGUUAUGGUCGCCAAUGGGGCCGCGAUGAAACACUUUCUGGUCAGGAGCGAGUAAGAAAUUAGUUUCCUCUCGCAGAGGUUCGUUUCCAGGUCUUUCCCACUAGGUUGAGUGACCUGGGAACGAGCUGUUCGUAACGGCUGCGAGAGGAGACUGCUAGUAGGAAAUAGACGAAUCAUAAAUAUAAAAAAAACACACAAUUUGAUGCAUGUUGGCAACGUUCAAAAGAACUUUUAGUCCAAAUUUCCAUCGUUUCAGAUUAUCCCUGUUUAAUAAACUUUGACCAUCAUAGUGGUAUAGGCAAAUAAAUGUCCACUCAAAUUAAUUUUGUACUAUAUAAACUAACCCCCGUCUCCUUAAAGGCCGACGUUCGCCAGGAACCUUUGCGAGAUUUUCUCAAAUUCGCCAUCUUUGACUGUAAACCAACAAAAAGGCACAUCUCAACAGAAAUCGCAUUUCAAAGGCUCGCAAAGGCUCUUGGAAGCACGUGGUCCUUUAAUUAUUUCCUGUUCUGCGGAUACAUGGGUGAUACGCAGGUAGCCCUGACGCAACAGAAAAAGCAUUCAUGCAUAUAUAAUAGCCGGCAUGAUCGAUAUUUUAUAGUUCAAAUAUGCAAAUGUACAGUAUUAGUAAAUGAAUUUAUAUCAGAAUUAGUUAGACUCCUUUUCUAUUGUAAUUCAAAUAAGAUUUAUUAGCCCCCAUAAUAGAAAGCAUUAUGGAUAUGUGAAAGUAGAGAAUACAAUCAGGUUUUGUUGGAUAUAAUAAAAAAUGAUGUGGUG
rnacentral:misc_RNA from 1 species